UACGGGGGAUGCAAGCGUUAUCCGGAAUUAUUGGGCGUAAAGCGCCUGUAGGUUGUUUAACAAGUCUGCUGUUAAAGACUGAGGCUUAACCUCAGAAAAGCGGCAGAAACUACUAGACUAGAGUGUGGCAGGGGUAGAGGGAAUUUCUAGUGUAGUGGUGAAAUAUGUAGAUAUUAGAAAGAACACCGAUGGCGAAAGCGCUCUACUGGACCACUACUGACACUGAGAGGCGAAAGCUAGGGGAGCAAAAGGG
rnacentral:rRNA from 1 species